UUUUAUAUUGAUUCUAAAGUAGUAUUAACAGAAACUUAAAAUUUUGACGGUAUUUAAUUUUUUAGAGGAAUAUGUAGUUUAAUCGUCAGUACACGUUAAUUUUACUUAUUUUAUUUUUGUAUAUCUCCGUUAAUAGAUUUUAUUAUAAAUUUUAAAAAAUUUCUAAACAAAUUAAUCUAAUAAAUCAGGUCAAGGUGCAAAAAAAUAAGCUACUAUGUAUUACAUUCAAAUAAAUUGAAAUGAAUAAUUAUUGAAAUAAUAAUUUGAAAUUGAAUCUACAAGUAAAAUAAUAAUAAAACAUUUUUUGAAAAUAUAUUAAAUAUGU
rnacentral:rRNA from 1 species